UUUCAUUUUCUUUGAAAUCUCUGAGACUAGGUCUUUUCUUGUCUCCUUUCUUUUUAUGAGAUCUUCUAUUUUUUAUUGAAUUAUACAUGCCACUGAUGUACAAAUGAUCAAAUGAAGGAUUGAAAGAAAGGGGAUACAAUAUUAUGAGGGGACAUAAGAAAGGCUUUCUAGUUAUGAAUUGGUUAUACCUAAGGAAAAAUAAUUGGGACGUGAUGAAUAUUUU
rnacentral:lncRNA from 1 species